CGCUGGGAGGACAUGCAUGAACCCAGAAUAGCAGGCCACAGCUCUUAGGAAGACUCCAGACACUGUCCUUAUGGUCCUGGAAUAUGGUUGCCUUAUUGUGCUGUUACCCUGCUUGCAAUGCCCCCCAGUCCACUUGUUGCUGAGGGCCACACCUGGUUCACGUCUGCAUUUCUGGCCUCUAGCACAGGGCAUAUCCUGAACUUGGGAAAAGGUAGGUGAACAAAUGCGUAAAUGAACAAGAGGUCUGAAAACUACUUGUAGAUUGACUCUUCAUAGAAG
rnacentral:lncRNA from 1 species